UAAUGUCAUGAUCUAGAUCAACUCAAUAAUGUCUGAAACCCAUUAAUUCCUAGGUCAGUUGUUUGGCCUUAAUAUGUUUGCCUUGUCAUGAGUGUUAUAUGUCAGGUCUUUAUAACCAAUCUCGAUUAUUAGGCCUUAUAUGAUUGUUGUGAAAUGAAAUUGUUUGGAAUGGAUAUCUGGAAAGUAAACAAUUUUUUAUACUUUUCUUCCAAAUGAACAGGCUGCUGAUGGUGAUGUGCUGGCGUGCCCCUAGCAGUGAAUGCUUUCCUGUAACAUCUUAUGCUCUUUCUGGCCUCCUACUGUGUUAUGGUUGUGGUUCAUGUGUGUCGUACUCUACUUUAUUAUCUUGGUACUUGCCCACAGAGGAUACAGACAUGGACACUGACUGAUUGGCCACGCCUCAAACUCCGUUAUUCAGCCUCUCCAUGUGCAAACUUUUCCGGACCCACUAAAUUGGACUCAACACAACCGACAGAUGUGAUGAACUGACAGCUGUUUGGCUCAUUUGAACCUGGGUGGAGUCACCUUUCAAUAACAUAUCAGUAUGGCUUCUUCUGUUUUCUUGUUUGAAAUGACAUUACCCAUGUUACUAUUUUGGACUAGCACCUUGUCAAAAA